GACGAACGCUGGCGGCGUGCCUAAUACAUGCAAGUUGAGCGAUGAAGAUUGGUGCUUGCACCAAUUUGAAGAGCAGCGAACGGGUGAGUAACGCGUGGGGAAUCUGCCUUUGAGCGGGGGACAACAUUUGGAAACGAAUGCUAAUACCGCAUAACAACUUUAAACAUAAGUUUUAAGUUUGAAAGAUGCAAUUGCAUCACUCAAAGAUGAUCCCGCGUUGUAUUAGCUAGUUGGUGAGGUAAAGGCUCACCAAGGCGAUGAUACAUAGCCGACCUGAGAGGGUGAUCGGCCACAGUGGGAGUGAGACACGGCCCAAACUCCUACGGGAGGCAGCAGUAGGGAAUCUUCGGCAAUGGACGAAAGGCUGACCGAGCAACGCCGCGUGAGUGAAGAAGGUUUUCGGAUCGUAAAACUCUGUUGGUAGAGAAGAACGUUGGUGAGAGUGGAAAGCUCAUCAAGUGACGGUAACUACCCAGAAAGGGACGGCUAACUACGUG
rnacentral:rRNA from 1 species